AGAAACCCGAAUCACCAGCCCACGCUCCCACCAUCGUCGCUCAAGAAGAAAAAAAAGAAUACACUGCCGCCAGACACACACGUCUCGUCCCCACCUCUUCCCGACCCCUCGCUCCCGAUCUCGUCUCUUUCCUGCCAAAUAUCGUCGCCGCCGGUGAGAGGAAGGAGCGCAGCGGAGGCACCGAGGAGGAGGGGGUCGCCUCGCUCGCUUCUGCUGACGUCGAUCAUGCCCACUGCGGCGGGCGCGGCGAGGCGAGCCCCAAGCCGCAGGACACCGGGCACGGCCACCCCCGCUGCCGCCGCCGCCGCAGGGACAUGAAGAGCAGGGCCGCGGGAGUUGGCGAGGGCUCCGAGGAGGGAUCCGGCCCCGAUCCUGACCCGCAGCCCCAGGUGGAGGUGGAGUACGUGCCGGAGAAGCCCGACCUCGGCGCCGACCAUCCCCGCCUCCGCGCGUGUGUCUUCGUUGCCAUCCGGUGCAGACGCCCAUCCCGCGCUACCUGCAAUGACAGAUUGAUGCCUUAUUCCCGGACUGGGUCUUGUGACAAUAAACCUGGAGACAUACAAGAUCGAUGAGGUAGACGUUGUUCAAUUUGUUGUUUAGUGAUCUACUCUUUUUCUCAAGGUUGGAGGAUCCUUUCUUCAUGUGCGUCUUCCUCCUGCAGAUGUGAUCGUUGGUA
rnacentral:rRNA from 1 species